rnacentral:rRNA from 1 species
UUACAAUGCCUACUACAAAGCGUUGCUAAGCCGCGAGGUAGAGCUAAUCGCAAAAAAGUAGGCCCAGUUCAGAUUGGAGUCUGCAAUCCGACUCCAUGAAGUCGGAAUCGCUAGUAAUGGCGGAUCAGCAUGCCGCGGUGAAUACGUUCCCGGGCCUU